CAGCCUAAACCAAAACAGCACAGGUCCCCCAUAGUCCUGCGAGUCGACCCCAAUUAACUUACGAUCGUCUGUUAUUACUCGCACAGUGAAUGCGAUUUCUCGGGGUUAAGAAGCCAUACAACAAAGGGUUGACGUAACCGAAACACAUCCCCAAUGUUAAGAUAUAUAAUCAACCGACAAUAUGAUCCAGUCAACAACAAUCUUUGCUUUCCACUGGCAAAAGGCAGUGAAUGGCUUCUACAGAGGAUGUCACUUAUGCAGAUGAUGGAAGUCCACCGAGGGUGUGUCAACACUGUGGUAUGGGACGCCCCGGGCAACCUUCUCCUCUCGGGCUCAGAUGACCAACAUCUCGUUAUCUGUGAUCCAUGGGAACGCAUGACAAAAGUACGCAUCCACACUGCUCAUCGAGCCAACAUCUUCAGUGCAAAAUUCAUGCCACAUACUGCUAACAGAAAAAUAAUGUCAUGUUCUGGAGAUGGCAUUCUUGUAUAUACAGAUAUAGAAAAGCAAGAGGAGACCCAUGACUGCAAAUUCACUUGCCAUGUGAGCACCUGCUAUGAUAUUGUUACUCUUCCUGAUGAUCCUCACACAUUUCUCACCUGUGGAGAAGAUGGGACUGUGCGGUGGUUUGACUUGCGGGCAAAGGUGCAGUGCACAACAAGAAAUUGUCAGGAGGACAUUCUUCUAAACAUGGGACGUGCAGUAACUGCAGUGGCAGUAAAUCCUAUUACCCCAUAUCAUUUGGCUGUGGCUACUCAAGAUUCAACCAUCAGAAUUUAUGAUAGACGUGUCCUGGGGACUAGAGCCACAGAUACCUUUGUGGAGCAGACAGACAGAGCUCUUCUUAUGAGGUUGAAGCCAGACAACAUGGAAGGCAAGAACCAUAGAGUUACAUCUUUACGUUAUAGUCAGGAUGGGAGAGAGGUGCUUGCAAGUUAUUCCUCAGAUUAUUUAUAUCUUUUUGAUACAGAGAACUUUAAAGAGAUUACACUUGAAGGUGCUAAUGAUGUUGAUAUGGAAGCCAACUCUGGACCCACGUUGAAACGUCUGCGUCUCAGGGGUGAUUGGUCAGACACUGGUCCCCAGGCACUACCAGAAUGUGAGAUGCGCAACCAGGCAGGAGAUGUUGGCCAAGCAAGACCAACAUUGCAUGCAACGCUUAUGCAGAGGAUGACAGACGUUUUGUCUAGAAUGCUAAAUGAUCCGGGCACUAGAGCCACAGUUCAAAGAACAACUUCAGAAUCUGAGGUACAGAACCCUUCAGAAUCUCCCUCAGAAAAUGUAAGAGAUGGAGAGGAAGCUGCAGAUGCAGUACAACAUUCAGUAAGUAAUGUGAAUGAGCCAUCACCUUUAUCAUCUUUGGAAGCCCCAAGUUCAAGUAUUCAGCAAACCAUGACACAGUCUCCAGGAACAUCAGAGGAUAAUGCUGCUCCAGAGAGUAUGAAUGAUCAGUGUUUUGAAAAUGAAGAAGCAGGAGAAAGACUAGAACAAAGUGCCACACACAGUAUGCCAGAGACUCAGCAAGACCCUCAAGAAACAGAACAAGCAAUAACUACCCAAGAGACAGAUGAAACACCGCUUGAAGAAGAGGAGGAGGAUGCACACAUGAAAGACUCUCAGAGAGCUACAUUAUCAGGUCUCCGACACAGGCUAUCAUCACUGAGACAAGGGUUUGUAGAAAAACAUCAGGUAGAACCAUCAAUCAGCCUUUCAUAUUCUGGCCAAGGAGUUAGCAGUGGUAUGAUCAGCUUUGGUGUUGGGGAUGAAGUCACUCGUAGCAGCACACCCAAUCAGUCAGAACAGGACAUCGGUCCAAGUUUGACAGUGCCAAGUACAAGUGGGACCACUAGCUCAGAGGCUCCAAACUCUGAAGAAACCUCACAGUCCCAGGAAGCACCAAAACACAAACCUGAAAGAGGUGAACAGCCCUGCUGCUCAUCAACUUCAUCCUCCUUAGCAUCAUCAUCAUCUUCAUUGCAUCAGCCCCAACCAGUUAGAGCUCAUACAUUAACAACUUCGAGUUCUAGUCCUGCCAUCUGUGAUAUGGAAGUAGGAGCAUCAUCUAGUCAAGAAGGGAGAGAUAGUUUGGGUCCUGAGGCUGUGACGGCAGGAUCAUCAAACCGUGGGGCAGUUGCCAGUGAGAUAAACCUGGGACACACUGUAGAUUUUGGAGACGAUGACAGUGAUGAUGAGUCAGCAACUGCCAGAAGCACAAGUGCACGUAUGGCUAGUGCAAUUGAGCGUGCUGUACAACGUGUGAAAGGAGAACGUGCUGCAGGUGUCGUUGGAGAUAGAGAAGUGCUGGUUCCACAGGCUUCUGUCAAGCAGUGUUAUAAAGGCCAUCGUAAUGCAAGAACUAUGAUUAAAGAAGCUUGUUUUUGGGGAGACUCUCAUGUCAUGUCUGGAUCUGACUGUGGACGUGUUUUUGUGUGGGAACGAAAGACUGGGAGACUAGUAAUGCUUUGGGAAGCAGACCGACAUGUAGUAAAUUGCCUGCAACCUCAUCCAACUCUACCAGUUCUUGCCACAUCAGGCAUAGAUUAUGAUGUAAAACUCUGGGCUCCAGUGUGUGAAGAAUCUCGCUUUGAUGAAGCAAAGGCCCUAGAGAUAACAAGGCGAAACGAAGCUUUGUUAGAGGAGACAAGAGACACCAUCACCGUACCUGCAACUUUCAUGAUAAGAAUGCUGGCUUCUCUCAACCAAAUUAGACGCGGCACAGGUCACGUGAUCUAUUUAAGCAACUCUGACUAGUGAUACGCAUGACAAGAGAAGAGGGUCCAUGUCUGAUGAUGAGCAAGACAGCAUUGUUGCAGAAAUGUAAGGGAGCUUCCUUCGCUGAACGAUGGAGGAACCGACAUCAGAACCGAAGACAAGAGGAAGAAGAUCAGGGAGGCAGUGCUGAAUAAUUUUUUUUCUCUCUUUAUAUUUUCUGCCUUUGUUAUGUGGAUAUGUGAUAUCUUAUGUUUGUCAUUUAAUGACAUCUUUAUUAUAUAUAUUUAAUGAAAGAAGUAAGUGAUAUGAGAAUAGAUAGAGCAGAUGAUAUAGUCAAGUUAGAAGUAAGAAUGGAUACUCAGAGUAUGUUCUAAAUGAAUUCUCAGUAGAUAUACAGACUGCAUAAUAUUUAUUAGUAUAAUUGAUAUAUGAGAGAUAUUCCUGUUUAACUAUGAUUUAAAAUGAAUAUUUGCAAAAUUUAUAAAGUAAGUGUAUUAAAAAAGAGUACAGGUAAAUGUGUUCAUGUGUUUUUGUAUGUCAGUACAAGUUUGUGUGUGCGCGCGUGUGCGUGUGUGCAUGCAUUUGCGUGUGCAUGUGUUGUAUGUGUGUGCGCAAGCGUGUGAAAGCAUGCGCAAGUGUGUGUUUGCUUGUUUGUUUUCUUGAUAUUACUUUGUUGAGCUGAGCACCUCUUGUGUAGGGAUAUAAUUUUUUUUUGAGAGAUUAGUGAAAUAUCUGAUAAAAUUAAUCUAAUUAAAACAGAAAGAUUGUUUGUUACAGUAUUUUCAGUCUGUACAUUUAGUUAAUAUAUUUUUGAAUAGUGACAUUUGUAGUAAAUCAUGCAAAGAUAUUUCAUCUCAUUUUCUAGUUCUUGAUUAUCCUAUGGUUUGGAUGCAGUAUACAGCAUGUACCCUUACAUUUUUUAUAAUGAAAAUAGAGUUGCACAUAUGUGGUGCAUUCAGAAGGCAAUUGAUACAGUAAGGAUUAGGUAUGUAGGUCUGUAUGUUGCUCAUAUUUUAUACUUCUCCAAUCCAUGUCUAGACAAGAUUAUUUUAACAGCUGUGAAAUAUAAUGUAUUAGGAGAAUAUUCCUUCAGUCUGUUAUUCUUUAACUGAGAAAAUGUCUGCAACAUAGCUACUUCUUAAUAUGCAUAGGGUUUUCAUAACCACAGUUAUUGAUGUUCUAAUAGUGUUUACAUUUGUACAUGGUUUAGAAUUUUGAAUGUUUCUAUUAGGUUUCCCAUACUGUAUUUUGCCUAGCUUUUCAUUUAUCAUUCUUGUUGCUCCAUGAUAUACUGUUUGUUUAUCUUUAAAGGGAUACAAACAUACUGUGAUGAUUUUUCUAACUGUGGAAGCUUCUUGGUUUUCCUUCAUUUUGUACCCAAAUCAUUUAUUGCUAAUUGGUUAUCAACCCCAAAUGACUUUUUACAGGUCUCAGUUUUUUUGGUGCUUUAUUUAAAAUAGUCCUAAUAUUUCUCUCUCAUUUGUCAUUUCUUAGUUGUGUGAGCAAAUGGAGCCUAAUGAGGAUUGUUGUAUGCAUUUUUAACUUUGUAAUGCAAAUAUUUAAGUGAAUUUUUUUGAACUGUAGAAGAGAAGACAUCAUCUGUCUCUGCCAAUUCAUAUAUUCGUAAGUAUUUACUUAUUGUCUUGGCCCGACUAUCAUUGGUGCCUUUCUUGCAGCAUAUUUCAGUAAAUCAAGGAAUUUUG